GUCUCGGGCAGUGUGGAAUCCUGGCUGUGUUUAAUUGGCGAGUGGCAGGCGGGCUUGGGAGACAGAGCAGGAGUGUGGGAGAUCUAAGGAAGCAAUUGGGACUCACAUGGAGAGGCAACUGCUCUCACUAGCUUUACGAGCUGCGACUUUGACUUUCUAAAAUAGUGAAAGAGAUGGGGAAAGGAAGGAAGAAACUCAACAGAGAGGUGGAGAACCAGUGAGCUAGAGUUUGGGAGGGGGUGAAGAGACUCAGAGAAAUAUAAUAAUUUUUUACACAGUGAACACAGAAGGGUUAAGGAUAUGGAACGAAAGGAAGGGAGAGAUAGAGAAAGGAAAUGACAGAAGGAGCAACAAAGUGCAAACAGAAUGAAGGAUAGGUACAGGAAAGGGUACAAUGGAGUGAGAGAAUAGGGGGGGUAAAGAGAGAAAGAGGCCCACUGCUGGAGAGAGGGCAACAGCACUGACUGCAUACGGGAAAUGACAGAAGUUAAGGAGAGAGAGAGAGAGAAAGAGAAAAGAGAAAAGAGGGAAAACAAGGGGAACUUAAUAAAAAAAACCAGGAGGAAGGAAAGGGGGAGGUGAGUCUUGAAAGGCAAGAGAAAGAAGAAAGUUGUUGAGGAGAAGUUGAAAGAAACAGCAUGUGAGAAUGGGAAAGAGAAUGAGUAAAAGGGGAGAAAGACAGUAGAGGAGUGAAAGAAAAAGACCUACGCAGAUGAGAAAAACAGCUUUAGUGAAUGGACAGGGUGGGGAAAGAGAGAGGAGGUAACUGGUUGUUUUGUAAGUCGUCAGUCUUGGCAGCUUUUAGUCUCUUACUGCUAUGCACUCUGAGAAGCCGGCAAAAGGACAACGUGCUCUCCAUCCAGCCCAGGAGUACUGCCACCUUUGCCGACAAAAGAAACCAGCGCAUCACAGGCAGGAGCUAAGGGAUGGGCAAUCCCCACCUCUGGAGCCCAUUCUAAGGUCACAUGUGUGGAAGGAGUAUUUGCCUCUACCUUUUCCUGUUGAUUUGGAAACACUUGACGAUAGGGCGGGAAACCAUAAUCAUCAUGACCUGCAGAGACGGCAGGUCUGCUUGGGGCAAAGCCACUACACUCUGUCUGAGAGCUGCAGCCCACCAUGCUACAUGUGGAGAGAGAUGAGAGUACCUAGAUGGGACCCCUGGCUUCCUUCACCCACAUGUGUGUGGGAAAGAUCGGCACUGGCACAUUGUGGGCAGGAGGUUGCUGAUGGGCGAGUGGCAGACAGGCUUGGGAGACCGAGUGACUAUGGCUAUGGGAGGGAAUGGUAUCAUCAUGAGCCGCCACAUCCCCUCAACGGUGGCACCAUGCUGGCAAAGGUCAGGAGUCAGCGGUACUACAGGGAAGCUCGGAAUGUGUCAGAGGAGCAUCACUUGGACUGUGUGAGUGAGAAAUUUCACCAGAACAGACAAAUACCAGAGCUAGAAUGGGACCAUAGGCGUACAUUUGAAUACAAUGGCCACUGUGAAAGGAGGCAUGUUACUUUUGAGGAUCAUGAUGAUGGACACAGCAUAGAGUAUAAUGGAUCCACCAGUCCAAUUAAGAACCACUGUAAUGGAGCUAAGGCUUUUUUUUCAACUGAGGUUCCCCAGAGCAAAUUUACAGUCUCCAAGACAUCAGGACCUAAGCUGCCAGUCAGUGAAAUCUAUGGUGGAGAGACCAAAUUGGAUCAAGCCGACAGGUCAGAGGUUGGAGGGAGCUGGAGUGACCACAGGAAGAGCCAGGAAACAGUGCGUGAGCAGAUCAAACAAGUGGUGACUGAGUUAGAGGAUGUGCUCAGUGGUCUUAAACAGGUUCAAAUGGAGAUGAAAGAGGUGGUCCAACAGAUUGAUGUUCUGACUUCCAGCAUCGACCUGGGAGAGGAGGAGCAAGGACCAUUCAAUGGUCUGCCACAGGAAUCCAUGCACCAAGCGAACCGUAUUGGAGUUGUGGCGCUUGUUCAUAAUGCAAACAGAAAUGCAGAAUCAAUACAAAGUGUCCACAUGUGUGCUGGUGUCAAAUCACAGACCAGUCGUUCCCUGUCAGACCAUAGCUUGGCCCCUGUGAUCUCUUGCCCUGAGAGUCAUCCCACCACAAAAAUCCACACAAACCCAUCCUCCCGUGUUCAUGCUCCGAUGACUGUUGAGUCUGCAUACAGCAACCAGAUGAAUCAUACAUCUGUUCUGGAGAUUCAGAGGACAAAGGGCACUGCCAAUGGAGACUGCCUGCGAGCCAGACCUCCUAGAGCCAAAGUCAAAGAGCUCCAGCAUCAAAAAACCAAAACAGAUUAUACAAAGAAUCCCGACCCUCCUUAUCCUCUAGCACCAAUUAGCUUGGCUAAAACUCAAAGACCCCCACCAUACCCACAAAAUGGACUGGUCAAAGUACCCUCGAAAGAUUUAAAUGUCCUAAAGACACCUCCCUACCCUGGAAAACAGAAAGAGCUAAUCUCUACCAUGGUGUAAAGGUGGGGUGACAUGGGACAUUCCACUGGCUCAGAGCUCUGAUUGCACUCAUGAGAACAACACACACCCACACACAGUCACACAUAGAACGUAAAUAGGAUGUUUUUUUCCCCCUCUGCAUCCACAUGGUUAGGUAACACAGGUGACACCACAAAGAAGAGAUGCAUCAAACAGCAGUGCAAGGACAUCUAUUAGAACUGAGAGUAUUUCCCAUGGAAAGCACUAGAAAAUAGACUGUCUUGUCUUUCAUCCUACCUCCCCAUCUAUUCUAAUCCUAACUGCACUUCAUCCAUAAGAGAAUUCUGCCCUUUUUGCCAGAUGAAACUUUUUGCCCCUUAAAGGUAGCACUACAGAAGAAUAAAAUAAGUCUAGACUUCCGUCUUGGCUCCUAAAUAUUAUGCAACAUAUUCCCCAAAUCUUGCAUGGGAUUCGACACCUGUGAGUGGACUGUUCAGAUGACCAAAGAGAAUUGAAAGCUUUUUAUUAUUCUUUAUUAUUAGUGAAAUGUGUAACAGCAAAAAAAAUCCACAAUGUAAGAGAAUUGUAUCAAACCUGUGUCUCUGGAUCAGUCUGUGAACCUUACACAUUAUACAGCAAAUAGUUAAUGAGGUAUUUAAAGCCAAUAUACGGCGUUUAGUUUGGUAUUUAAGCCAUAUCAUUGAGAUGUGCUGUCCAGAAGAGGGCGCUACAGGCCAUAAAAGUGCCCCUGGACCUUUAUAACGCUAACAGGAAAUAAAAGAGGAGACAUCUGGAACAUAUUCUAAUUAAAUGAUGUCAUCAUUUCAAAUCAUCUCACCAGCAAAUGUCUUAUGGUGUCUUAUUUGUAUCUGCCUUACAAAAAUGUGUUAAAUAGCCUGCUGUUUUCUGCAGUACGAAAGCUGACAUGGAGUAAUACCAGAAGAAAUAUAGCUAUAGAAUAUUUGCACAGUUGAGUACAGUGACUUCAGUCUUGA